UACGGGGGGAGCAAGCGUUGUUCGGAUUUACUGGGCGUAAAGGGCGCGUAGGCGGUCAGCACAAGUCAGUUGUGAAAUCUCCGGGCUUAACUCGGAAAGGUCAACUGAUACUGUGCGACUAGAGUGCAGAAGGGGCAACUGGAAUUCUCGGUGUAGCGGUGAAAUGCGUAGAUAUCGAGAGGAACACCUGCGGCGAAGGCGGGUUGCUGGGCUGACACGUGACGCUGGAUGCGCGAAAGCCAGGGGAGCGAAACGGG
rnacentral:rRNA from 1 species